rnacentral:rRNA from 1 species
CACGUAGGGGGCGAGCGUUGUCCGGAUUUAUUGGGCGUAAAGAGCUCGUAGGCGGCUCAGUAAGUCAGGUGUGAAAACUCCAGGCUCAACCUGGAGACGCCACUUGAUACUGCUGUGGCUAGAGUCCGGUAGGGGAGCAUGGAAUUCCUGGUGUAGCGGUGAAAUGCGCAGAUAUCAGGAGGAACACCGGUGGCGAAGGCGGUUCUCUGGGAAUGUCCUGACGCUGAGGAGCGAAAGUGUGGGGAGCGAACAGG